UACGGGGGGAGCAAGCGUUGUUCGGAUUUACUGGGCGUAAAGGGCGCGUAGGCGGCAUCGCAAGUGGAAGGUGAAAUCCCUCGGCUUAACCGAGGAACUGCCCUCCAAACUGCGUUGCUUGAGGCCGGGAGAGGUGAGUGGAAUUCCCAGUGUAGCGGUGAAAUGCGUAGAUAUCCGGAGGAACACCGGUGGCGAAGGCGGGCUUCC
rnacentral:rRNA from 1 species